AGUAGAAUUGCUGGGUCAUAUGGUAGUUCUAUGUUUAACUUUUUGAGGGACUGCCAAGCUAUUUUCCACAGUGGCUGCAUCAUUUUACAUUCCCAUCAGCAAU
rnacentral:pre_miRNA from 2 species